AAAGCCCGCGCCUCCCUUCUUCAUCUUGUAAGCUGGGUGGUUUGGAAUGAGCGAAAUGCACGCGUGUUCAGGAACAAGGCGGCGCCGGUGAUGGUGAUCAUGCGCUCUAUUAAAGAGGAGGCUUCUCUAUGGGCUCUGGCGGGCGCUAAACAUUUAUGUAAUUUGAUGCCGUGAGAGUAG
rnacentral:rRNA from 1 species